CCUCACAGCACAGGAACUGGCUGCACUCAAGUGGGCAGUUUAGAAGUCAAAAAACUGUUCUAAAUAUCACCAUUUCGGAGGAGGCUGAAGAAAAAGGAUACGAAACUGGCUAAACACAGAGAAGAAUAUGGUAAAUCAGGGUACAAAGUGCACCUAAUUGGAGUUUGAGAUUGGACUCUGAAGUACAACGUAAGUCUUCCUUUAAAUUGCUUUUUUGUUUUCUUUUUAUCAUCACAGUAUCCACUUGUUUAAUUUCCAUUCUGGAGCCAGGCUGGGCCAAGAAGGUACAAUUAGCUAUAAAAAUCAGCAUGGAGCAGGAUAUGUGAACUCUGAUAUAAGACUGAAAAUGAUACUGAACUACAACAGAAGCUAGAGACUAUCAGCCAUCCUAUGGAAGAUGAACUAUAAAUAAGAGCAUAUCUAAUUAUUACAAGAGAAAGAUGCUGGAUGGAAUCUUUAAUCAACUUUCUUAAUAGGGAAGCCACAGUUCUGCUGUUUUGUUCGGCAAGCUAUUUUAAUACUGCUGUGUUUAAAACUGUGUGAUUACAGUUACCAAUAGCAAUAAGAUGUAGCUCCAGAGGGGAGUCCUAGUGGUUGCAAAAGUUUUUUUCUCUUUUAUUUCUCCAACAUUUUUGCUCUCUGAAGCCUCAAGUACACAUUCUGUAUCCUACAGCUUGGUUUUACUUUUCAGAUGGCUUUUCAAUGUAUGCCAACACUGGACUUCCAAUGGAACUGAAAACAAAACAUUGCAACUUUCUGAGUAAUUCUGGUAUGUUUUUCUACAUCAGUCUAGUGGCAAAAACAGUGUCAACAAAAGAUUGUGCUCCCUCAACUUCUGGUGUGGACAGCUGAGGAAUACAAAGCCUAAUGGUGACAAAGGGUGGUAAUUUCCUAUUUUUCACUAUUUAUCUCACUGAUUUUGGGCUCAGCAAUGGAUAUUCUUUGUGAUGAGGAGUGUUCUGCGAACCCAACUUCAAACUCUUUAAUACAAAUAAAUCAUGAGAGAAGACUCUACAGGAAUGUUUAUGGAGCUGGAGAGAUUAACAUAUCACAUCUCUUCAACUUGACUGUGGACUCUGAAAACCUAACGAAUCUUUCAUGUGAAAGUAACACAAGUCCACCGUGCUACUCUUCCCUGUUUCAGCUUUCACAGAAAAACUGGCCAGCUUUACUGACAGUGAUAGUGAUUGUUUUAACCAUUGCUGGAAAUAUACUUGUCAUCAUGGCUGUGUCACUGGAGAAAAAACUACAGAAUGCCACUAACUAUUUUCUCAUGUCACUUGCAAUAGCUGAUAUGCUGCUGGGUUUCCUUGUCAUGCCCGUGUCAAUGCUGACCAUAUUGUACGGAUACACAUGGCCUCUACCCACAAAGCUCUGUGCUGUUUGGAUCUACUUGGACGUGCUUUUCUCCACUGCCUCCAUCAUGCACCUCUGUGCCAUUUCACUGGAUCGCUAUAUUGCCAUUCGAAACCCCAUCCAUCACAGCCGGUUUAACUCAAGAACUAAGGCUUUUGCCAAAAUAAUUGCUGUUUGGACCAUAUCAGUUGGUAUCUCCAUGCCUAUACCUGUCUUUGGACUACAAGAUGACUCCAAAGUGUUUAAGAAAGGCAGCUGCUUACUUGCAGAUGACAAUUUUGUCCUAGUAGGCUCUUUUGUGUCAUUCUUCAUCCCUCUAACCAUCAUGGUGGUCACCUACUUUUUAACUAUCAAGACGCUGCAGAAGGAAGCUACUCUAUGCGUGAAUGACGUUGGCCCAAAGACCAAGUUUGCUUCGUUUAGCUUCCUCCCUCAGAGUUCCCUGUCCUCAGAGAAACUCUUUCAGCGCUCUUUGAACAGAGACGCGGGGACUUCUGGGAGGAGAACCAUGCAAUCCAUCAGCAACGAGCAGAAGGCUUCCAAGGUUCUUGGCAUUGUCUUCUUUCUGUUUGUUGUGAUGUGGUGCCCGUUUUUCAUCACCAAUGUGAUGGCUGUAAUUUGCAAGGAGUCGUGCAACCAAGAAGUCAUUGGAGGACUCCUGAAUGUGUUUGUUUGGAUUGGCUACCUCUCUUCGGCUGUCAACCCACUCGUAUAUACGUUGUUCAACAAGACCUACCGCUCGGCGUUCUCACGUUACAUUCAGUGCCGCUACAAGGAGGAGAAGAAACCUUUCCAGCUGAUUCUAGUGAACACUAUCCCAGCACUCGCAUAUAAUUCCAGCCAACUCCAGCUAGCACAAAUGAAGACUUUGAAAAAGGAGGCAAAAAUGAUGGCUAAGGAUUAUUCGACAGUCACGAUAGGAAUCCGUCAUUUGGAUGGUACCUCCAAGGGAAGUAUCAGCCCAGGGAAUGAAAAGGUUAGCGGUGUGUGACGGUCGGCAGCUGCCAUGACAACCACCAUGAGUACGCUGGAAAUUUCACCUGGCUGUGAGAAGCUCUGAUAGCUUAGGGAAAAUCAGCCCUGUUCAAGAGACCCUCCGCUAACAUCACAUACGCCUCAUAUUAUCAUGUGGAUGGAAAGCAGGGUUGAAAUGGCACCACAGACAAUUUCACUGAAGCCAGUGGGACUGUGCUGGAGAGAAGAAAUAUAAACGUUGCAUCCACUUGCAAAACCUACAUUCGGGCAUUUGAUUGGUUCCAUGAAUUUUGCAGCCAUAAUUGUCAGAAGCAGGAUGUACUCCAGUUUUAGAUUCUGUCUAAAACUUUCUACCCAGAAGACAAACUCCAAUGCCUUCAUCAACCCUUCUCCUGAAGUUGUUCAGUUUUCACAGACCAAUUAAAUUUCCACUAAGGCAAAGAGAGAGAGAGACACAGAGGAACUGAAUGUGACUGUAGCCUACCAGCUGGGGGUCUUUGGAAGAGGAAGACUUGUAGCUUACAUUACUCAUCUGUGGUAGAAGAUGACUUAAAACUUGGCUGGGUAUUUGGUUGAUUUCCAAGAAAACGCUUUUAUCAUUCUCUUGCCAGUAGGAUGACUAAAUUUGUCAGUUCUGUGAGCCGUUUCCUCCAACGCAGGAUAGGUCAGAGCAAUGGUGCACAGGUUGCAGAGGAGCUCUGAAUGCACCUGGUGGCACUGACUCACUGCACAGCCCUCAGCCUCCAUGCCUGAGUCAUUGUCGUGCUGUAGCCCCAUUGCAGUGAUGUCACGCGUGUCAUCAUGGCCAUUAGUGGCUUUACUCCCAAAACCUGGGAAUUUGAGAUUACUUGGUAAAUCAAAUGGUAUAAGUGCUGUGCUCACCAAGGCGUUAUAUAGUUUCUCUGGCUCUGGGUAUACUUGAUCACCACAAUCAGACUGAACAGCUUCAGCAGAAGGAAAAAUGAACUCGCUGCUCCUGCCUCCGUCUGCAUACUCUGCGCCUCACAUAGUGCUGUGUGAGAGGUGCCACACAUGCACAGAAGGUCCUUCAGAGGGAAUCUGCUAAAUGCAGCUGAGCAUGAAGACCACCAUAGUAGCAGGUGGAAGCACUGAGUUUCCAGUUUCCUGACGAGUUUGAGAUAGACUCUAAAUUAGGGCUUUUGAGCAAGGGACAAUGGCCGUCUUGGAUCACACAGGCCAGCCAGGCAAGGUGUAGAGUAUUGAGUGAGCACAGGUGGCUCAGGGCAUCCCACAAAACAGGGUAUUUGGGUACCUCCUGGUGCCUAGAUGUUCCCACUCCACAACUACAGUGAUGGUUUUGAGGAUUAACCCUUGGGAACAGACACUCCAGGGAAAACAUGGGCUGUAUUAAAAACAAAGGUCUUUCAUGAGCAGAGGUCCAAGGCUCAGGAUGUGCCACCAAACCAGAUUGCCUUCAUAUGCUGCAUACUGACACAGGAUCGCAGGUCUCUAACCCUGCCUACGAGGAGAAAGGAAACACAGAUGCUUCCUCCAGUAGAGAGAGUUGACACUGUUUUUUGCCAUUUGUGCCCAUUUUGAUGCAAGUGUCUCUGGCCUUGCAAGAGAAAGAAGCAGAUGGGAUGGACAGCUAAUUUGUGCCAGAGAGCAAAGCCUUGCCUGCAUACUGUAUAAUGUAUAUGGCACCCUGCGCUUCUUCCAAGCUCAAUUCCUCCCAAAACUCCUGAGGGGCUAAUUGCUCGUCUGUGCAGUCUCCUUCACCAGCUUGUGCUCGAUAAACUGUUACUGAGCAUUUAACAUCCUCUGCUUUUGCUCUCCGCUUACCACCUGCAUUUCGCCCACUUGGCUGAGCAAAUCAGUCCCCCUGUUUCUCUUUCAUUUCACCUUCUGUUCCUCUUUCCCAAUGUCAAAUUGCUCAGGUUGCAAAUAGUAGUGGUGAAUGUUUCACUACAAACAGUGGGUUUCAGUUACUUGUUUGAUGUUUCAUUAGAAGAUGACUCUGAAAAAUAAUAUUUUUCAGCUUAUUAAAAUAAAACCUCUGUUUUGGAGGUUGACAGAGACUUGACAGCAUUUCUUUAAUUGACAGCUGGAGGCAACAUAACACAUCUUUUGCUUAGAAGCAGGGAUAUCUGAUGCAUGACAUUUUAAUUCUGCAAGCAAUCAGAUAGGUGGUUUUAUUGAGUGGUCAGCAGCUUUUGCCUAAGAAAUCUCUCAAAGCCAAGAAUGCACAGCAGAUAAAGACCAAUAUCUCCAACUCUUUAUGAACAUCUUUGACAGCUUAUCAAGGCCUGAUUCUGCCACCUUGCAUCAAAACUUUUAUAGAUUUUUUGUGUGGUUUGCCUUAGUAAGGAUGACAGAGUCAGCAUCUGAAUUUGUUCUACCCACCGUACCAGAUCUCCAGGAGGCCAUUCAUCAGGAGACAGCAAUUAAUAGAGUCAUUAUACUGCAGACAAAUUACAAAGUUCAGCUGUUUUAAACCAGAAUUUAUAGCACUGGGCCCAUGCUUGGGAUGAACACUACAGAUUAGUACAACCAGCUUCAGAGCAAUCCCUUCCAUCUUGCAAAAAAAAAGUGAGUGUCAUGAGUAUGUAUCAGACAGGAAUGAAAACUUUUGUAAUUUUCCAGGGAGAGAAAAACAGAAGACAUUCAUACAGACUAGCUCAGAGGUUAGGGCCUUCCCUUACCUUACAGGAUAAGUGUGCUGAGUCAGGCUGCCAUAUCUGCAUCCAAAAAACCCUCUUUGUCUGAAAAAAAAUGUUUUCAUCAACAAUUUUUCAAGUAGAUAGCCAUUUUAUUACUGUUAAGACUGCAUCUGAAAAAUGUCCAAAGACAUGAAGCUCACCACAUAUCUCCUAAUCUGGUGUGCAUCCUUCAUACACUUCAGGGUUUAAAAUCCUAUGUAUCUAUCCCAUCCAACCAACCAUGCACUGUACUUAGGUAAUUAUUGCCAGAUGGUGAGAUGCAUUCUAUUUUGAAUACCUAUAUGUUUGCUUAUGUAAAUGCAUAGAGAAAAACAUUUGCUGCAUUUUGCUAUGUUAAUGUAAAAUGGUGUUCCAAUGUUUUAUUGUUUUGUCAGAUCCUUCUGCUAGUAAAGCAGAUUGAACUAUUUAAAUGCAAUCAGUUGUUUUAUAAACUGGAGGUUUGUCUUAAGUAGUUAUUUUGAAUUGGUUUAAUUUUUCCCGUACAUAUUGACAGUACAGUGUCUGCUGAAGGCUAAAGUCAUUUUAAAUAUCUCGCCGGACAAUAAGAAAAAGCAUGUUGCAGAAUUUAACUGUCUCAGUAAAUUGGUCCGAAAUGAGCCAUUGCAAGCAUUCUCUUUUUCUAAGGAAAGUCUUUCUUCUACUGAAAAGGUAUACUCUUUGAAUAAGUACAUAUAGCUUACAACAAUUCAAUCUCAAGAACAGCAUCCUUGCAACAGUAAUAAGUCAAUUAAAUUAAUUUCACUAAGAAGACACACUAUAAGAUUAAAAGUAAUACGGCAAAUAAAUAAAGAUCGUUGUAUAGUCGCAGAGACAUAAAAUAACAUCCAAGUCACAGAACCAUGGUGCCAUCUAUUGGCAGCAUUCCUUUUCACAAAGACUAUUAAAACAAGAACCCAAAAUGUAUUUUCUCACAUUUUUGAGGGUGUGGAGUCCCCUUCUCUGGAGGUUUUCAAAACCCACCUGGAUGCCUUCCUGAGUGACUUGAUCUAGCAAGACCUGCUUGAGCAAGGGGGUUGGAUGAGAUGAUUUCCAGAGGUCCCUUCCAACCCCUACCAUUCUGUGAUUCUGUGAUUUUUGUUCUCCUCACCUUAAAACCAAAAUAAAUGUGUU